UUAGAGGAAGUAAAAGUCGUAACAAGGUCUCCGUAGGUGAACCUGCGGAGGGAUCAUUACACAAUAUGAAAGCGGGCUGGCAUCCUUCGGGGUUACAGCCUUGCUGAAUUAUUCACCCGUGUCUUUUGCGUACUUCUUGUUUCCUUGGUGGGUUCGCCCACCAUAGGACAAACCAUAAACCUUUUGUAAUUGCAAUCAGCGUCAGUAAAAAAAUUAAUAAUUACAACUUUUAACAACGGAUCUCUUGGUUCUGGCAUCGAUGAAGAACGCAGCGAAAUGCGAUAAGUAGUGUGAAUUGCAGAAUUCAGUGAAUCAUCGAAUCUUUGAACGCACAUUGCGCCCUUUGGUAUUCCAAAGGGCAUGCCUGUUCGAGCGUCAUUUGUACCCUCAAGCUUUGCUUGGUGUUGGGCGUCUUGUCUCCAGUUCGCUGGAGACUCGCCUUAAAGUAAUUGGCAGCCGGCCUACUGGUUUCGGAGCGCAGCACAAGUCGCGCUCUCUUCCAGCCAAGGUCAGCAUCCACAAAGCCUUUUUUCAACUUUUGACCUCGGAUCAGGUAGGGAUACCCGCUGAACUUAAGCAUAUCA
rnacentral:rRNA from 1 species